rnacentral:rRNA from 1 species
CCUACGGGAGGCAGCAGUAGGGAAUAUUGCUCAAUGGGGGAAACCCUGAUGCAGCAACGCCGCGUGGGGGAUGAAGGUUUUCGGAUUGUAAACUCCUUUUGUUAGAGAAGAUAAUGACGGUAUCUAACGAAUAAGCACCGGCUAACUACGUGCCAGCAGCCGCGGUAAUACGGAGGGUGCAAGCGUUACUCGGAAUAACUGGGCGUAAAGAGCGCGUAGGCGGGAUUGCAAGUCAGAUGGGAAAGCCUAGGGCUUAACCAUAGAACUGCAUUUGAAACUGUUAUUCUAGAGUAUGGGAGAGGUAGGUGGAAUUCUUGGUGUAGGGGUAAAAUCCGUAGAGAUCAAGAGGAAUACUCAUGGCGAAGGCGACCUGCUAGAACAUAACUGACGCUGAUGCGCGAAAGCGUGGGGAGCAAACAGGAUUAGAUACCCGGGUAGUC